rnacentral:rRNA from 1 species
GAUGAACGCUGGCGGCGUGCCUAAUACAUGCAAGUCGAGCGAACAGACGAGGAGCUUGCUCCUCUGACGUUAGCGGCGGACGGGUGAGUAACACGUGGAUAACCUACCUAUAAGACUGGGAUAACUUCGGGAAACCGGAGCUAAUACCGGAUAAUAUAUUGAACCGCAUGGUUCAAUAGUGAAAGACGGUUUUGCUGUCACUUAUAGAUGGAUCCGCGCCGCAUUAGCUAGUUGGUAAGGUAACGGCUUACCAAGGCAACGAUGCGUAGCCGACCUGAGAGGGUGAUCGGCCACACUGGAACUGAGACACGGUCCAGACUCCUACGGGAGGCAGCAGUAGGGAAUCUUCCGCAAAGGGCGAAAUCCUGACGGAGCAACGCCGCGUGAGUGAUGAAGGUCUUCGGAUCGUAAAACUCUGUUAUUAGGGAAGAACAAAUGUGUAAGUAACUAUGCACGUCUUGACGGUACCUAAUCAGAAAGCCACGGCUAACUACGUG